UUUUAUAUAACCAAUCCAAACCUAAGCUUUGAAGGAUCCUAUCUAUGGUCGCCGCCAUGGACUAAAACAGUUGUUACGGUGGCCAUUCGUCACACAUUCCAAAUCUAAGUCGUGGUCGUCGAUCUGGGUUAGACUUGAUUUCCAUAUCUGAGUUGUGGUACUGCUUCUUCCACUGCCACAAUCCUUCAAAUCUCUGCCAGUAGAGACUAAUGGAGAUAUCUUAGAGGAUUGCUAUGAUGGCCUCAAUCAGAUGCGAAGAGAUGUGAGUUCUCAGAUGAGCUUUUUAAUUACAACUUUCAAAUCUGAGGAAAAAUGUCACUUUUACUUGCUGCUUUGUAACAAUGGAUUGAUACUUGAUGUUAAGUGCAGUUGUGCGAUAGUGUUGGUAUUGCACGUCUGUUAAAUGUAACCUUGGUUUUGCCAAAGUUUGAAGUGACUGAAUAUUGGAAUGAUUCAAGGUAAUAGUAAUACGCCUUUAUCUUUGACGUUGGGAUUGUUCUGAGCAGCGAGCUCUAUAAGGUUGUGUUGUUAUGCUUGCAAGAAUCUGUUUGCAGUUUAGAAGCAACUGGCAGUAUAUGGGUGUUGCGUCCCAUCUUAGACAAUGGUGAAGUAAUGAAUGGAGGUUAUUCAUAGUUUUCCUUUGGUUCUACA